rnacentral:lncRNA from 1 species
ACACUCGCACGUAUUAAUUGUAAUCAAUUUAUAGAAACUCAAGGUGAAAAAUUCUGUGUGUAAUAAUUGUGGAGAAGUUUGUAGAAGCGCCGCUGGGAAUUAAACUACCACAGAUUCAAAGUUGUGAGUUUUGAUGAAUUAUGUGUUUAUGAGAGAGAAAUUGAGAGGAGAGAGAGGAGAGAGGGAAGGGAAGAAUUUUGGUUUUGGGUUGGGGAUUGGUGGUGGUGGUUUUGUAGGGUGGACUGAAGGAGCAACGUGAUGGAGUGAAGGUUUGAACAGGCUGGAGAGGGAGGGUGGGCGCGUGGACCAUUUCAGAGCACGCCUGUUUGGAAAAAAGAUUUGAGAUAAGAAUGAAUUAUUUUGAAUAAGCUAUGUCAGUGGGCCAUAAAAUAUUUAACUUGUGUUAUUUUGGACUCUUUUAUAUUAAUUUUUUUAAUCUUGCACUUAUUAAUACAAUUAAAUUUUAUUAUUAUAAAAAUAUCUUGAAGUUUUUUUAGUCUUUGAUAUCGGCAAUACAUCUGACUCUGAGUAAUUGUAAAUGUGAUCAUUUAUUAAUGUGAUAAUUAUAAAAGAACUUGAUUAACUCGG